GGGAUGAAAAGUGAUAUGAGAUAUAAGAUAUGUAAGUAAAAAUAAAUAACGGCCUGUUUCUAAUGUAGUCUGUUUCAAAUGAAGCUGGUAGCCUACAGUUGUGCUGUGGGAUUAGUGUUAAAUCCUGCAUGGACAGUGGACAGCAAGUUUUUAGGAUUAUCCUUCCGCAUACAUCAUUUCAUCACGUUUUGUACCUUUGGGACAAACAUAAAAUCAAAACAGCUUUGACAGCUGAUUGGACGACUGGUGGCAGGGUCUUUUCUUUAAAAAGUGCACUUGGAGAUGACAAGACCUCAAACCAAAACUCACCACUGGACUCCGUGUUUGGCCUUUGUUGUCAACAUCACUUUCAGAUUUGAAGGAAGGACUCUUGUGUUUUUCAGCUAUGAAACUGCUGGUCCUCGCUCUGUGCCUCACUGCCUUAAGUUACGCCUUUCCUGUCUCUGAAGAAGAGAACGAUCGAGUCAAACGCUCAGGGAGUAAUGAGAUGGGCCAUUUCAUGCUUCAGUAUUUGUCUCAGUAUCAGUCUCAGUAUCCAGCAGUUUACCCCGGCUAUCAACCCAGCAAUCCCAUUUCUGCAUUCCUGCAGUUUCUGUUGUCAAGUCUUGCCAGUUUAAUUCCUCUCCC